UAGGGUUAGGUCUCUCCUCCGUUAGGGUUAGGUCUCUCCUCCGUUAGGGUUAGGUCUCUCCUCCGUUAGUGUUAGGUCUCUCCUCUCCUCCGUUAGGGUUAGGUCUCUCCUCUCCUCCGUUAGGGUUAGGUCUCUCCUCUCCUCUCCUCCGUUAGGGUUAGGUCUCUCCUCUCCUCCGUUAGGUUAGGUCUCUCCUCC